AUUGAACGCUGGCGGCAUGCUUUACACAUGCAAGUCGAACGGUAACAGGCCUUCGGGUGCUGACGAGUGGCGAACGGGUGAGUAAUGCAUCGGAACGUACCCAGAGGUGGGGGAUAACGCAGCGAAAGCUGUGCUAAUACCGCAUGUGAUCUGAGGAUGAAAGCGGGGGACCGAGCAGCAAUGUUUGGCCUCGCGCCUUUGGAGCGGCCGAUGUCGGAUUAGCUAGUUGGUGGGGUAAAGGCCUACCAAGGCGACGAUCCGUAGCUGGUCUGAGAGGACGACCAGCCACACGGGGACUGGGACACGGCCCAGACUCCUACGGGAGGCAGCAGUGGGGAAUUUUGGACAAUAGGCGCAAGCCUGAUCCAGCAAUGCCGCGUGCGGGAAGAAGGCCUUCGGGUUGUAAACCGCUUUUGGCAGGAACGAAACGGUGUCCGCUAAUACCGGGCGCUAAUGACGGUACCUGCAGAAUAAGCACCGGCUAACUACGUG
rnacentral:rRNA from 1 species